rnacentral:lncRNA from 1 species
CAUUAUUUCCUUCAAUGGAACAUUAAUUUUUCUCAGCUAGAUACGCCUCUCUACUUCCCAUCAGUUACAUGCUUUAAACCAAGCACUCUAUUUUCCACCUGUUCAUACUAUAAAAAGCCUCACUUCUCCAUCAGUUUUGAGAAGUUUUCCAUUAGAAUAUAUCUCUAUUUUUCCUCUCAAUCACAACUCCUAAGAAACACAAAUUGGUGAGAAUCACGUUGGAAUUUUUUCUUCCAAUCUCAAAGUUCUUUCAACGUUUAAGAGGUAUGUAGGACCAUUCCUUACUCUCGUUUCUGGACGUUGUACUGUUAUCCAAUUCCAAUUGCUCUAAAACUAUUGAAUGGUUUAAUAGUUGUUGGAUGUGUAAAGAUAACUCUCUGUUUCAUGUUCUUCCUUUCUGAAUUUUGUGAGUUCCAAUGACCCUCGUGAUUGAUGUACGAACAUAGAUGAUUUUGGCAAUAACUGUGAAAGAUUUAUGAUCUGCAAAGUCAAGCAAUUACACCUAGAGUGCACCCCAUUAUUUAAAAGAAGUGAGAGAGAACUAAUUACAUAAUUUGUUGAUCAAAGAUGACCUCUCCUAGUUAUUUUUGAAUUUCCAAACAUAUCUACUCUUUCUUUGACUUCAUUGCGAGAUUAUAUAUCCUUCUAUAACGUGUUUUCUGUACACGGUUCACUUUCCAGCAGUCCUGAUACACCAGUGUCGCAGCCUUGUAGCUGCAAUAUGCUUCAUUACAUUCUUUUUGAACUGCAUAGUUACAAAACAACAACCAGCACAGACUACUCGUUCUUCCGCUGCAACGUUCAGACAACAACAAAAAAAAAGAACAUACUGUUACAUCGCUAAUUCAAAUAUAUCCUACUCUAUUAUUAAGUAAAUAUAUUACACAGUAUGUAAGAGCAGCAUCCUCUUUUUUAUGAAACUCUUAAAGUAUGAUUCCAAUUCCAUAAUCCAUAAGAAACUCACCUUCUUGCAGCAUUGCUAAAACUCUUUGUACUAUGAACUAUACAUUAUGAAACUGCAAGCCCUAGUAUAAUAAUACCAACUUCUCAGGAAUUUUUCCAUUGACGUAGUUAAUAGAUACUUAAUAAUAUUAAUAUGAAUAUUUUUCAAGAAUGCUUCCAAUCAUGUACAUGAAUUAUAUCUUAUUGAACCAUGAAAUUACAUAUCAUGACUUUUUAAUAUUGAUAGUGUUAACUCAUGAAUAUGAACCUAUUACGGUUAACUCUCAAUAUGCGCCUAAAGUGUCUGUACAUAAUUAUGAGCCUAAAAAGGUUAGACCAUGAGCAUGAGCUCUAAACUAUGAACAUGAACAUAAUAAGACUAACAUUUUGAUCAAGAACUAAUCAGAUAAAUAAGAUAACGUCAUGGGCAUAAGGGAGUUAGUUAGAUGACCGUGAAGUCAUGGGUUGAAACGACAAAUGCCCAAAACUAUGUUUAACGACAUAGGAUAAAGAUUAUUCCACAAGUAGAAUGACUCUUUUUUUUAUGUGUCCCGAAAAGGGGCUAACCAUGGAUACUUGCUAGCAAAUUAUGUCAUGUCACGUCCUAUGCUCGGCAAGGUAUAGGACGGCUUAGCUGAUCGGGCCGAGAUUAGACUCCAUGCGCUCACAUGGUGGUUUAUGACGGUUCGUUACUUUCUCCCACAAAUAAUCAAAGGAAUUAAACCUACUUUACUUGGUCAAUUAUAAAUUUAUCUUAUAUUCUUGUUCCUUUCCAAUUUUCCUCUUUUACAUUUGAAUUUUAUUGUCAUUUCUAACCUCUUGAUGUACUACCCUCCUGAAAUGAUUUUGCAUACCAAUACAUUCCACGUAUUGACCGCCUUUGAUGCUACAUCGUUUCAUGAUGUAGGUUCUGGCUCUCAUAUCCGUAGUCAGGCGCCCCAUUAGGACCUCUAUCUUCUGCUAUUGGCGAACCUCUUUCCUAUCAGGAGGUUGGAUGGGAUAUGAUAACUUCAUUAUAUUUUCUUUCCUUUUAGUAUUAAUACUUAUUAAAGGCUUUACAGACUGAUUUAGUUACCUAACAAAUCUUGUAAUUUUUAGUAUUACUUGUCAUGACUAUUAUAUCUUCAAACGUUAAGUGAUAUUGAUGAACAUUGAUGAAAGACUUUAACC